AAGCACAAAUUCACACUUGAAUGGACCUAUAAAUAGAAGAGCUAGCUGGAGGACAAUGGCCUCAUCAACACCUACAAUCUAAUCUGCAAUCACCAAAAUGAAGACUAUCUCUCUCAUUUGCUGCAUUCUCCUGGCUUUCCUUCUUUUCUCGUCCCCUUCAAUUAUGGCUCGUGACUUGGCUGCUCAUGAUCAUGAGGCCGAUGUUCAUGCAGGUCGUAAUGGUGGCCAAGCCGGGGAUCGCAACAAGCCUUUAAUAUGCGGAAAGCCUAGUGACAAUCCCGCGUAUAGCAAAUGCAUAGGAAAACAAAAGCCCAUCAAGUGUGAAUCAAAAAACGUAUUUGGCCGUUGCAAGCCACCUCAAGGACGACCUUAAAUCAGUAGUACUACUUAAUUAUUCAUGUGGUGUGGUGAAAGUAUGAAUAAAUAGUACUACUAAAGUUACAUGAAGUUGUACUCAUCAUGUAAUGCUUUGAGAAUAAAUAUUAAUAUUGUAAUGGAGCUCGAUCGAUCGAGCUAGCUUCCUUAAUUUGCAGUAUGCAUGGAAACAUAUGUGUAAAAUAUGCUGCAUCUUCUUGAUAUGCUGUCGUGUGCCAAUAAAAAGAUCGAGCUGACCGACAUAGUUUUGGUCAGCUUGUUGUGAUCUCAA